GAUGAACGCUGGCGGCGUGCCUAAUACAUGCAAGUCGAGCGGAUAGACGCUGAGCUUGCUCCUCGAACGUUAGCGGCGGACGGGUGACUAACAUGUGGAUCACCUACCUAUAGGACUGCGAUCACUUAGGGAAACCGGAGCUAAUACCGGAUAAUAUAUUGAACCGCAUGGUUCGAUAGUUAAAUUCGGUUUUGGGGUCACUUAUCGAUGGAUCCGCGCUGCAUUAGGUAGUUGGCACGGUAAAGGCUUGCCAAGGCAACGAUGCGUAGCCGACCUGAGAGGGGGAGCGGCCACACGGGAACUGAGACACGGUCCAGACUCCUAAGGGAGGCCGCAGUAGGGAAGCUUGCGCAAUGGGCGAAAGUUUGACGGAGCAAGGAAGCGUGAGUGAUGAAGGCCUUGGGAGCGUAAAACUCUGUUAUUAGGGAAGAACCAAUGUGUAAGUAAGUAUGCACGUCUUGACGGUACCUAAUCAGGAAGCCACGGCUAACUACGUG
rnacentral:rRNA from 1 species